rfam:Shewanella denitrificans OS217, complete genome.
AUUUCUUGGUGGUGGCACUUCCCAACUUAACGGGCGGUGUGAUGCGUUGUGCUUAAUUGACACAAGAAUUAUCCAAAAAGCCCGCACCUUGCGGGCUUUUUUGU